UGGCAAUUGACUACCAGCCCU
rnacentral:piRNA from 1 species